CCCUUAGAUGUUCUGGGCCGCACGCGUGCUACACUGAUGCAUUCAACGAGUCUAAAACCUGCUCUGAUAGGGGUGGGUAAUCUUUUGAAUGUGCAUCGUGAUUGGGAUAGAUGAUUGCAAUUUUUCAUCUUCAACGAGGAAUGCCUAGUAAACGCAAGUCAUCAGCUUGCAUUGAUUACGUCCCUGCCCUUUGUACACACCGCCCGUCGCUCCUACCGAUUGAAUGAUCCGAUGAAUAUCAUGGAUUGAGGAUGCAAGUAGGUUAGCCUAUCUUCAUCUUCGAGAAGUGAAGUAAAUCUUAUCAUUUAGAGGAAGGAGAAGUCGUAACA
rnacentral:rRNA from 1 species